GUUUUGCUUUUCUUCCUUUAGCCUGCUGGGCUUUGUAAUGUAUAUUUUGUGAAUGAAAUGAAAAGGAAAUUUUGUGUUACCUCGUCUAUGUAUUGCAUUAAAUCAUCAUCCGCCGAACUUCUUUUGUCUCUUGACUUGUUCGACGUCAGUGUCGUUCGGAGGUGCCCAGUCGUCGCCACGUUGAUUUGCUUUUCUUGUC
rnacentral:lncRNA from 1 species